rnacentral:lncRNA from 1 species
CAAAACUCGAGGUAGUUUUACCUAUGAUACUUAUCUCUCUGAUUUCUAUGCAUGUAACUCAUUUAUUACUUGUUGAUUUGAAGUUUACAGUGUUUCUUUCUCCUUUUUGUUUUCAGCCUAAGUCAUGUCUUCAGUUUCCGCUUUUAAUUUUGACUUAUCCACCCAUAAGAAUGCCAAAAGCUGUUAUUUCUGCAAGUGCCACAGUGGCACUAACCAGCAGACGGUGUCCAACUGAGCAGACAGACAAGGUGCUAAUUCUUCUUCAUUCAACUCCUGAUGGCUGGACAGCGUGUGUUAAAGAUCUCGCACAAACAGUUGAGGUGUGCAUAGAAACUGCGAACAACUGCAGAUUCCUGGAGAACUGUUAAAGUCAAAAAAGCAAAGCAAGAAAUCAACUCAUGUGAUUCUAAAUUGAGUAGAAGAUUGCUUCUUCUCGCACCCCCUCCUGCCACACACAGAAGUAUGGAUACAAAAAGGAGAGAAG